rnacentral:rRNA from 1 species
GAUGAACGCUGGCGGCGUGCCUAAUACAUGCAAGUCGAGCGAACAGAUGAGGAGCUGGCUCCUCUGACGUUAGCGGCGGACGGGUGAGUAACACGUGGAUAACCUACCUAUAAGACUGGGAUAACUUCGGGAAACCGGAGCUAAUACCGGAUAAUAUAUUGAACCGCAUGGUUCAAUAGUGAAAGACGGUUUUGCUGUCACUUAUAGAUGGAUCCGCGCCGCAUUAGCUAGUUGGUAAGGUAACGGCUUACCAAGGCAACGAUGCGUAGCCGACCUGAGAGGGUGAUCGGCCACACUGGAACUGAGACACGGUCCAGACUCCUACGGGAGGCAGCAGUAGGGAAUCUUCCGCAAUGGGCGAAAGCCUGACGGAGCAACGCCGCGUGAGUGAUGAAGGUCUUCGGAUCGUAAAACUCUGUUAUUAGGGAAGAACAAAUGUGUAAGUAACUAUGCACGUCUUGACGGUACCUAAUCAGAAAGCCACGGCUAACUACGUG